GGGUGCAUCUACCUAUGCACUUUACUGUGGUUGACUAAUUAGCUCCACAGUAAAGAAUUACUGUCUACAUAUGUUGUGUUAUUGGGCUGGAG